rnacentral:rRNA from 1 species
UACGUAGGUGACCAGCGUUGUCCGGAUUUACUGGGCGUAAAGGGCUCGUAGGUGGCCAACUAAGUCAGACGUGAAAUCCCUCGGCUUAACCGGGGAACUGCGUCUGAUACUGGAUGGCUUGAGUUUGGGAGAGGGAUGCGGAAUUCCUGGUGUAGCGGUGAAAUGCGCAGAUAUCAGGAGGAACACCAGUGGCGAAGGCGGUGCUCUGGGCCGGAACUGACGCUGAGGAGCGAAAGCGUGGGGAGCAAACAGG